UGUCCUCUACUACCGUUUGGCAACUGGUGUUGGUGCGUUUGCGUCCCCAAGGCGGCUUCCCAGCAUGGCCGCAGCCUAGGGACUGAAACAAGUAAGGGAUAAUAGGCACAAAGCACAUAAAAUUGACUGCAGGCGGUGCUGGCGAUUCAAAUUAAACUUACCUUACCUUGCAAUGCCUAAUACCAUUGAAUUUUUAAGGAAAGCUUCUGACGGAUUCGACAUGUCACCACAUGCACAGCCAGGCUCAUGGACCCGGUUUCCCGGUUUCUAUGGCGUAUGUGUUCCCCCCAGCUAGACGAGACGCCAGUCCAUCGCAAAGUUACUCAAGAAACAGGAAGAAAGAGUGAGAGAAAGUUUUCUUUCUACUUCACAUAUAUGCACUUAUUUGAACUGUUUAGAGUGAAUAAAUUUUUACCAAAUUUUUACCGUCUGAAGUGAGUUGUGCUCGAAGAUCAGUGUCUGCGAGUUUUGGAAGACAAAAUCUAGUUACCGAUCCAUUAUUUCGAUUCCAAACAAUGAUAGUUUAACAUGCAUAUCUUUAGUAACUGUUAUUUUUUUUUCUCAAAUUUCAUUGCUGCUGUGCGUAAAUAACUGGAGGUUGUCAAAUUUCCUGUUGGUGAGGAAGGUUUUAGUUUUGGACAAUGCACCUUCUCAUCCAAGUGGUCAUCACCUUAUCAGUAUCGAUGAGAAAUAGGUACAUGUUGUCAUCUUUCAAACGUUAUCUCUGUGAUCCAAGUACAAUCCAAGCUAGUGCUAACGAAGGCACAUAGACGAAUUUCGGUUGGAGGUAAAACAGGGCGAUCUUCAUAAAGACACGAGAACAAAGAACUCCCUGUGACAAUUUUUUGGCGCUGUACUGCUUGAAUACAGACGGUAUGCACAUUUUAAAGCAUAAAGGGUGUUAGGUAGGCACGUCUGCAAGUUUUGAAAGACAUAAACUCUUCAAGCUACCGGUGCAUUUUUCCCAUUCCAAAAAUCAUAGAUCAACAUGGAUAUUUUUAAUAAGAGAAGUCAGGAACUACCGAGAUUCCAGGGAUACUAAAGUAGCAAAGGCUAGCGCUGAAAUUUGCACAGAUAAGAAGUAGAUUGGGAUCUUUUUUAAAACGGGGGCCACAUUUUUCAUUAAUGUUUUACGUAGUGUUUUUGGUACCGAAAGACUUUCAAACUUCGUAUACUUAUCUAUUUUGUGUUAUAGAACAGAAAAAUAUUUUUGUAUCCGAAUUUAUUUCAUGUAAAAAAUUGUCUUAUUUCGAUAAUUUCAACCAAUCACUGACAAGUAUUCAGUUGUUUACAUUUACUCCUUUGGCUCAUUAAACGAUGUAAAGCGUAUUUAAUCUCCAUACCUUCGUUUUAUUUGCUUUUUUCAUUUUAAAUUUGCUUUAACCCUAACCCUAACUCUAACCCUAACC